CCUACGGGAGGCAGCAGCGGGGAAUAUUGCGCAAUGGGCGAAAGCCUGACGCAGCGACGCCGCGUGAGGGAUGAAGGUCUUCGGAUCGUAAACCUCUGUCAGCAGGGAAGAACGGUAACUGUGCUAAUCAGCAGUGAAUUGACGGUACCUGCAAAGGAAGCACCGGCUAACUCCGUGCCAGCAUCCGCGGUAAUACGGAGGGUGCGAGCGUUAAUAGGAAUUACUGGGCGGAAAGCGCUCUAAGGCGGUAUGGCAAGUCAAGGGUGAAAUCCCCGCGCUAAACGUGGGAACUGACUUUGAAACUGGCAAAAUGGAGUGUGUGAGAGGAUAGUGGAAUUCCAGGUGGAGGAGUGAAAUCCGUAGAUAUCUGGAGGAACAUCAGUGGCGAAGGCGACUAUCUGGCACAUAACUGACGCUGAGGAGCGAAAGCGUGGGUAGCAAACAGGAUUAGAUACCCUUGUAGUC
rnacentral:rRNA from 1 species